rnacentral:rRNA from 1 species
UACGGAGGAUCCGAGCGUUAUCCGGAUUUAUUGGGUUUAAAGGGUGCGUAGGUGGAUUGGUAAGUCAGUGGUGAAAGUUUGCAGCUUAACUGUAAAAUUAGCCGUUGAAACUGCCAGUCUUGAGUGCAAAUGAGGUAGGCGGAAUGCGUCGUGUGGCGGUGAAAUGCUUAGAUAUGACGCAGAACUCCGAUUGCGAAGGCAGCUUACUGGGAUGCAACUGACGCUGAGGCACGAAAGACGUGGGUAGUCAAACAGGAUUAGAUA